GGGAAUGUGGCUUAGUGGUAGAGUGUUUGCCUAGCACGCAUGAAGCCCUGGGUUCAAUUCCUCAAUACCA
rnacentral:tRNA from 1 species